GGCCGCAGUAUUUUGACUGUGCAAAGGUAGCAUAAUCAUUAGUCUUUUAAUUGGGGACUGGUAUGAAUGGUUGGACGAGGUGAAUACUGUUUUAUAUUAAUUUAAUUGAAUUUAGAUUUUAAGUAAAAAGACUUAAAUAUUAUUAAGGGACGAGAAGACCCUAUAGAGUUUAAUAUAUAAUGUAAUUAAUUGAGUUAAAAUUUAAUUUUUAAUUAUUAUUAAGUAUAUUUAAUUGGGGUGAUUAAAGAAUAUUAUAAACUUCUUUUUUUAUUUAAUGUUAUAAAUAAUUUUAUGAUCCAAUUUUAAUGAUUAAAAGAUUAAAUUACCUUAGGGAUAACAGCAUAA
rnacentral:rRNA from 1 species